rnacentral:pre_miRNA from 1 species
UAUCUCGGUGACUCACUCAACCUGGGUGUGAUGUGUUUGCUGUACCAUCACAACCUCCUUGAGUGAGCGACCGGGUGG